AACGCUGGCGGCGCGCUUAACACAUGCAAGUCGAGCGAGAACCAGACCUUCGGGACUGGGGACAGCGGCGAACGGGUGAAUAACACGUGGGUAAUCAACCCCCGGUACUGGGAUAGCCCGGGGAAACCCGGAUUAAUAUCGGAUGGCCCUUCGGAUCUCCGGUUCUGAAGGCAAAGGUAGCUUUCGCCUCCGACCGAGGACUAGCCCGCGGCGGAUUAGCUUGUCGGUGGGGUAACGGCCUAUCAAGGCGGAGAUCCGUAGCUGGGCUGAGAGGACGAUGAGCCACACUGGGACUGAGACACGGCGCAGACUUCUACAGGAGGCAGGAGUGGGGGAUCUUGCGCUAAUGCGGGAAACCGUGACGCAGCGACGCCGCGUGAGGGAAGAAGGCCUUCGGGUUGUAAACCUCUUUCAGAAGGGACGAAGCUACUCGGGUUCAUAGCCCAGAGGGUGACGGUACCUUCAGAAGAAGCCCCGGCUAACUACGUGCCAGCAGCCGCAGUAA
rnacentral:rRNA from 1 species